CAGCCGCCACGGUAAUACAGAGGGUGCGAGCGUUAAUCGGAUUUACUGGGCGUAAAGCGUGCGUAGGCGGCUUCUUAAGUCGGAUGUGAAAUCCCUGAGCUUAACUUAGGAAUUGCAUUCGAUACUGGGAAGCUAAAGUAUGGGAGAGGAUGGUAGAAUUCCAGGUGUAGCGGUGAAAUGCGUAGAGAUCUGGAGGAAUACCGAUGGCGAAGGCAGCCAUCUGGCCUAAUACUGACGCUGAGGUACGAAAGCAUGGGGAGCAAACAGGAUUAGAUACCCGCGUAGUCCCUGUCUCUUAUAC
rnacentral:rRNA from 1 species